ACAGGCAGAAAGAAGUCGAGCCGGAGAAAGAUGCUUUUAUGGCUGAGUGCAUGGAACUGAGAGCCUGGAGGUGAAUAUAGCCAGAGGGGUGGAAGUAUCCUGAGAAGUGUCCAAAUAGAAUGCUUUCAUCAACCAGGAGUACCCACAUUGGAUUAUUAGCAAUGGAAUCUCUGAACUGAGAUAUUGGUUUUCCGAAAAGUGUCACUCAACCAGAGAGUGUUUCUCAGUCUGCAG
rnacentral:lncRNA from 12 species